GCAGUGGGAGCAAGAUGGAUUCACAGGCCCAAGUUCUUAUGUUGCUGCUGCUAUGGGUAUCUGGUACCUGUGGGGACAUUGUGAUGUCACAGUCUCCAUCCUCCCUGGCUGUGUCAGCAGGAGAGAAGGUUACUCUGAGCUGCAAGUCCAGUCAGAGCCUUUUAUCUAGUAGCAAUCAAAAGAACUACUUGGCCUGGUACCAGCAGAAACCAGGGCAGUCUCCUAAACUGUUGAUCUACUGGGCAUCCACUAGGGAAUCUGGGGUCCCUGAUCGCUUCACAGGCAGUGGAUCUGGGACAGAUUUCACUCUCACCAUCAGCAGUGUGCAGUCUGAAGACCUGGCAGAUUAUUUCUGUCAGCAAGGUUACAGCUAUCCUCCCACAGUGCUUCAGCCUCCUACACAAACCUCCUUGAGAAUUUCACCAGCUGCCUGCAAAACACACAGUCCUUGGUCUGAACACUUCCUCUUUCUUCAUGAAAGCCAGCAUGCAUGA